rnacentral:rRNA from 1 species
GAUGAACGCUAGCUACAGGCUUAACACAUGCAAGUCGAGGGGCAGCAUGAACUUAGCUUGCUAAGUUUGAUGGCGACCGGCGCACGGGUGAGUAACACGUAUCCAACCUGCCGAUGACUCGGGGAUAGCCUUUCGAAAGAAAGAUUAAUACCCGAUGGCAUAGUUCUUCCGCAUGGUAGAACUAUUAAAGAACUUCGGUCAUCGAUGGGGAUGCGUUCCAUUAGGUUGUUGGCGGGGUAACGGCCCACCAAGCCUUCGAUGGAUAGGGGUUCUGAGAGGAAGGCCCCCCACAUUGGAACUGAGACACGGUCCAAACUCCUACGGGAGGCAGCAGUGAGGAAUAUUGGUCAAUGGACGAGAGUCUGAACCAGCCAAGUAGCGUGAAGGAUGACUGCCCUAUGGGUUGUAAACUUCUUUUAUACGGGAAUAAAGUGAGGCACGUGUGCCUUUUGUAUGUACCGUAUGAAUAAGGAUCGGCUAACUCCGUGCCAGCAGCCGCGGUAAUACGGAGGAUCCGAGCGUUAUCCGGAUUUAUUGGGUUUAAAGGGAGCGUAGGCGGACGCUUAAGUCAGUUGUGAAAGUUUGCGGCUCAACCGUAAAAUUGCAGUUGAUACUGGGUGUCUUGAGUACAGUAGAGGCAGGCGGAAUUCGUGGUGUAGCGGUGAAAUGCUUAGAUAUCACGAAGAACUCCGAUUGCGAAGGCAGCCUGCUGGACUGUAACUGACGCUGAUGCUCGAAAGUGUGGGUAUCAAACAGGAUUAGAUACCCUGGUAGUCCACACAGUAAACGAUGAAUACUCGCUGUUUGCGAUAUACAGUAAGCGGCCAAGCGAAAGCGUUAAGUAUUCCACCUGGGGAGUACGCCGGCAACGGUGAAACUCAAAGGAAUUGACGGGGGCCCGCACAAGCGGAGGAACAUGUGGUUUAAUUCGAUGAUACGCGAGGAACCUUACCCGGGCUUGAAUUGCAACUGAAUGAUGUGGAGACAUGUCAGCCGCAAGGCAGUUGUGAAGGUGCUGCAUGGUUGUCGUCAGCUCGUGCCGUGAGGUGUCGGCUUAAGUGCCAUAACGAGCGCAACCCCUGUUCACAGUUGCCAGCAGGUAAAGCUGGGGACUCUGUGGAGACUGCCGGCGCAAGCUGCGAGGAAGGCGGGGAUGACGUCAAAUCAGCACGGCCCUUACGUCCGGGGCGACACACGUGUUACAAUGGCAGGUACAGCGGGAUGCCACGGGGCGACCCGGCGCUGAACCCGAAAACCUGUCUCAGUUCGGAUUGGAGUCUGCAACCCGACUCCAUGAAGCUGGAUUCGCUAGUAAUCGCGCAUCAGCCACGGCGCGGUGAAUACGUUCCCGGGCCUUGUACACACCGCCCGUCAAGCCAUGGAAGCCGGGGGUACCUGAAGUACGUAACCGCAAGGAGCGUCCUAGGGUAAAACUGGUAAUUGGGGCU